GACGAACGCUGGCGGCGUGCUUAACACAUGCAAGUCGAACGGAAAGGCCCUGCUUUUGUGGGGUGCUCGAGUGGCGAACGGGUGAGUAACACGUGAGUAACCUGCCCUUGACUUUGGGAUAACUUCAGGAAACUGGGGCUAAUACCGGAUAGGAGCUCCUGCUGCAUGGUGGGGGUUGGAAAGUUUCGGCGGUUGGGGAUGGACUCGCGGCUUAUCAGCUUGUUGGUGGGGUAGUGGCUUACCAAGGCUUUGACGGGUAGCCGGCCUGAGAGGGUGACCGGCCACAUUGGGACUGAGAUACGGCCCAGACUCCUACGGGAGGCAGCAGUGGGGAAUAUUGCACAAUGGGCGGAAGCCUGAUGCAGCAACGCCGCGUGCGGGAUGACGGCCUUCGAGUUGUAAACCGCUUUCGCCUGUGACGAAGCGUGAGUGACGGUAAUGGGUAAAGAAGCACCGGCUAACUACGUGCCAGCAGCCGCGGUGAUACGUAGGGUGCGAGCGUUGUCCGGAUUUAUUGGGCGUAAAGGGCUCGUAGGUGGUUGAUCGCGUCGGAAGUGUAAUCUUGGGGCUUAACCCUGAGCGUGCUUUCGAUACGGGUUGACUUGAGGAAGGUAGGGGAGAAUGGAAUUCCUGGUGGAGCGGUGGAAUGCGCAGAUAUCAGGAGGAACACCAGUGGCGAAGGCGGUUCUCUGGGCCUUUCCUGACGCUGAGGAGCGAAAGCGUGGGGAGCGAACAGGCUUAGAUACCCCGGUAGUCCACGCUGUAAACGGUGGGUACUAGGUGUGGGGUCCAUUCCACGGGUUCCGUGCCGUAGCUAACGCUUUAAGUACCCCGCCUGGGGAGUACGGCCGCAAGGCUAAAACUCAAAGGAAUUGACGGGGCCCCGCACAAGCGGCGGAGCAUGCGGAUUAAUUCGAUGCAACGCGUAGAACCUUACCUGGGUUUGACAUGGAUCGGGAGUGCUCAGAGAUGGGUGUGCCUCUUUUGGGGUCGGUUCACAGGUGGUGCAUGGCUGUCGUCAGCUCGUGUCGUGAGAUGUUGGGUUAAGUCCCGCAACGAGCGCAACCCUUGUUCACUGUUGCCAGCACGUUAUGGUGGGGACUCAGUGGAGACCGCCGGGGUCAACUCGGAGGAAGGUGGGGAUGACGUCAAGUCAUCAUGCCCCUUAUGUCCAGGGCUUCACGCAUGCUACAAUGGCUGGUACAGAGAGUGGCGAGCCUGUGAGGGUGAGCGAAUCUCGGAAAGCCGGUCUCAGUUCGGAUUGGGGUCUGCAACUCGACCUCAUGAAGUCGGAGUCGCUAGUAAUCGCAGAUCAGCAACGCUGCGGUGAAUACGUUCCCGGGGCU
rnacentral:rRNA from 1 species